AUCCGGAUCUAGUCGCCUGGUUGGAGAACGAUUUCAAAGCGACGCUACAAAACCAGGCCACGCUGGAACAGUGGGCUCAGUGGCUCGAAAGCGUCGUCGAUCGAGUCACGAAACCCUACGAGGGUGGGUCGACGCAGGAGUUUGCCCGCGUGGCACGCCAGUUUCUGCUCAAAUGGUCGUUUUACAGUUCGAUGGUGAUUCGUGAUUUGACUCUAAGGAGUGCCGCGUCGUUCGGUUCCUUCCAUUUGAUUCGACUCUCUACGAUGAGUACAUGUUCUAUUUGGUGGAGCACCGUGUCGCCAUGGCGACCGGGGAGACGUCGAUCGCCGUCAUGGGCGAAUUCUUGAAUUUGACGCAGCGCUCAAAAGAAGAGGACGAUGUCGGUUCCCCGUCCGUCCCGCCGUCACCCAGUGGCUCGUCGGGAUCGCUUCACGUUGGUGUCACGGCUUCCUGUCGUCGCAGAAAUCGGGUGCCAACAACAACAGCAGUAGCCACACGAGCAGUAGUCAUCAUUUGCAUUCGAUGGCCGAUGGCAGCUCCAACAACUCUAAACGGCCAAAACUGAGUUGAUUUUACUCCAACACUCAGCCGAAACCCCAUCCGUCGAAAGGAAAAUCUUGUGCUGUCAAACGUUGCGGCCAUCAUCUGCUCCUCUUUGCUUUCCUUUAUUUCUUUUUUUCUAUUGAUAAAAAUUGCUGAUGCCGCUGCUCUACCACCGUCAAAAUUUGCAUCUUGCAUUUUAUUUUUUUGGCCCCGCACAACUCGUUCGUUGACUGGCAAACCAACAACAGACUCUCUCCUCUGAGCCAUGAAUAUUUUUGUUUUCUUGUUUUUAAUUAGAUGGACAACAAGGACAUUGUCAGACUAAACCCAUUUUUUCUGGGACAAAAAAAAAAAAAAAAAAAGAAGGAAAAAAAAAAAAAGGGAAAAAAAAAAAGCUACUCGUAUAAUAUUACAUGUCACAAUUAAGUCUGAUUGUUUUGUGAGUGGUAAGUGUUCUUUUGUUUUCGGUGAGUUCUUCUUCCAAUGUCUUUUGAGAUACGAAAAAAAAAACGGAAGUGAAAAAGACA